rnacentral:tRNA from 1 species
UCCUGGUUAGCUCAAUUGGUAAAGCGAGCGCCCUGGAAAGACGUUGGUCCCGGGUUCGAUCCCCGGACCAGGAC